rnacentral:tRNA from 1 species
GCAGCAUGGAUGGUUCAGUGGUUAAGGCAUUAGAAUUGAAAUCCAAUGAAGUCUCCCCAUGCAGGUUCAAAUCCUGCUUGCU